rnacentral:rRNA from 1 species
GGGUUGUGAGGUUAAGCGACUAAGCGUACACGGUGGAUGCCCUGGCAGUCAGAGGCGAUGAAGGACGUGCUAAUCUGCGAAAAGCGUCGGUAAGGUGAUAUGAACCGUUAUAACCGGCGAUGUCCGAAUGGGGAAACCCAGUGCAAUUCGUUGCACUAUCGUUAACUGAAUACAUAGGUUAACGAGGCGAACCGGGGGAACUGAAACAUCUAAGUACCCCGAGGAAAAGAAAUCAACCGAGAUUCCCCCAGUAGCGGCGAGCGAACGGGGAGCAGCCCAGAGUCUGAAUCAGCUUGUGUGUUAGUGGAACGGUCUGGAAAGUCCGACGGUACAGGGUGAUAGUCCCGUACACCAAAAUGCACAGGCUGUGAACUCGAAGAGUAGGGCGGGACACGUGGUAUCCUGUCUGAAUAUGGGGGACCAUCCUCCAAGGCUAAAUACUCCUGACUGACCGAUAGUGAACCAGUACCGUGAGGGAAAGGCGAAAAGAACCCCGGCGAGGGGAGUGAAAAAGAACCUGAAACCGUGUACGUACAAGCAGUGGGAGCACCUUCGGGUGUGACUGCGUACCUUUUGUAUAAUGGGUCAGCGACUUAUAUUCUGUAGCAAGGUUAACCGUAUAGGGGAGCCGCAGGGAAACCGAGUCUUAACUGGGCGUUAAGUUGCAGGGUAUAGACCCGAAACCCGGUGAUCUAGCCAUGGGCAGGUUGAAGGUUGGGUAACACUAACUGGAGGACCGAACCGACUAAUGUUGAAAAAUUAGCGGAUGACUUGUGGCUGGGGGUGAAAGGCCAAUCAAACCGGGAGAUAGCUGGUUCUCCCCGAAAGCUAUUUAGGUAGCGCCUCGUGAAUUCAUCUUCGGGGGUAGAGCACUGUUUCGGCUAGGGGGUCAUCCCGACUUACCAACCCGAUGCAAACUACGAAUACCGAAGAAUGUUAUCACGGGAGACACACGGCGGGUGCUAACGUCCGUCGUGAAGAGGGAAACAACCCAGACCGCCAGCUAAGGUCCCAAAGUCAUGGUUAAGUGGGAAACGAUGUGGGAAGGCACAGACAGCCAGGAUGUUGGCUUAGAAGCAGCCAUCAUUUAAAGAAAGCGUAAUAGCUCACUGGUCGAGUCGGCCUGCGCGGAAGAUGUAACGGGGCUAAACCAUGCACCGAAGCUGCGGCAGCGACACUAUGUGUUGUUGGGUAGGGGAGCGUUCUGUAAGCCUGCGAAGGUGUGCUGUGAGGCAUGCUGGAGGUAUCAGAAGUGCGAAUGCUGACAUAAGUAACGAUAAAGCGGGUGAAAAGCCCGCUCGCCGGAAGACCAAGGGUUCCUGUCCAACGUUAAUCGGGGCAGGGUGAGUCGACCCCUAAGGCGAGGCCGAAAGGCGUAGUCGAUGGGAAACAGGUUAAUAUUCCUGUACUUGGUGUUACUGCGAAGGGGGGACGGAGAAGGCUAUGUUAGCCGGGCGACGGUUGUCCCGGUUUAAGCAUGUAGGCUGGUUGUCCAGGCAAAUCCGGAUAAUCAAGGCUGAGGUGUGAUGACGAGGCACUACGGUGCUGAAGUAACAAAUGCCCUGCUUCCAGGAAAAGCCUCUAAGCAUCAGGUAACAUCAAAUCGUACCCCAAACCGACACAGGUGGUCAGGUAGAGAAUACCAAGGCGCUUGAGAGAACUCGGGUGAAGGAACUAGGCAAAAUGGUGCCGUAACUUCGGGAGAAGGCACGCUGGUGUGUAGGUGAAGUCCCUGCGGAUGGAGCUGAGACCAGUCGAAGAUACCAGCUGGCUGCAACUGUUUAUUAAAAACACAGCACUGUGCAAACACGAAAGUGGACGUAUACGGUGUGACGCCUGCCCGGUGCCGGAAGGUUAAUUGAUGGGGUUAUCCGUAAGGAGAAGCUCUUGAUCGAAGCCCCGGUAAACGGCGGCCGUAACUAUAACGGUCCUAAGGUAGCGAAAUUCCUUGUCGGGUAAGUUCCGACCUGCACGAAUGGCGUAAUGAUGGCCAGGCUGUCUCCACCCGAGACUCAGUGAAAUUGAACUCGCUGUGAAGAUGCAGUGUACCCGCGGCAAGACGGAAAGACCCCGUGAACCUUUACUAUAGCUUGACACUGAACAUUGAGCCUUGAUGUGUAGGAUAGGUGGGAGGCUUUGAAGCGUGGACGCCAGUCUGCGUGGAGCCAACCUUGAAAUACCACCCUUUAAUGUUUGAUGUUCUAACGUUGGCCCCUUACCGGGGUUGCGGACAGUGUCUGGUGGGUAGUUUGACUGGGGCGGUCUCCUCCCAAAGCGUAACGGAGGAGCACGAAGGUUAGCUAAUCCUGGUCGGACAUCAGGAGGUUAGUGCAAUGGCAUAAGCUAGCUUGACUGCGAGCGUGACGGCGCGAGCAGGUGCGAAAGCAGGUCAUAGUGAUCCGGUGGUUCUGAAUGGAAGGGCCAUCGCUCAACGGAUAAAAGGUACUCCGGGGAUAACAGGCUGAUACCGCCCAAGAGUUCAUAUCGACGGCGGUGUUUGGCACCUCGAUGUCGGCUCAUCACAUCCUGGGGCUGAAGUAGGUCCCAAGGGUAUGGCUGUUCGCCAUUUAAAGUGGUACGCGAGCUGGGUUUAGAACGUCGUGAGACAGUUCGGUCCCUAUCUGCCGUGGGCGCUGGAGAAUUGAGGGGGGCUGCUCCUAGUACGAGAGGACCGGAGUGGACGCAUCACUGGUGUUCGGGUUGUCAUGCCAAUGGCACUGCCCGGUAGCUAAAUGCGGAAGAGAUAAGUGCUGAAAGCAUCUAAGCACGAAACUUGCCCCGAGAUGAGUUCUCCCUGAGACUUUAAGUCUCCUGAAGGAACGUUGAAGACGACGACGUUGAUAGGCCGGGUGUGUAAGCGCAGCGAUGCGUUGAGCUAACCGGUACUAAUGAACCGUGAGGCUUAACCUUACAACGCCGAAG